rnacentral:antisense_RNA from 1 species
CUUGAGCGACCCAAGCCAGAGCGGACGGUCCGCAGGCCGGUCCUGUCCAUAAGUCGCCAACAGAGCCUGGGCCUC